rnacentral:rRNA from 1 species
UGGGGAAUAUUGGACAAUGGAGGAAACUCUGAUCCAGCAAUUCUGUGUGUGUGAAGAAGGUUUUAGGACUGUAAAACACUUUUAGUAGGGAAGAAAAAAAUGACGGUACCUACAGAAGAAGCAACGGCUAAAUACGUGCCAGCAGCCGCGGUAAUACGUAUGUUGCGAGCGUUAUCCGGAAUUAUUGGGCUUAAAGGGCAUCUAGGCGGUAAGACAAGUUGAAGGUGAAAACCUGUGGCUCAACCCUAGGCUUGCCUACAAAACUGUUGAACUAGAGUACUGGAAAGGUGGGUGGAACUACACGAGUAGAGGUGAAAUUCGUAGAUAUGUGUAGGAAUGCCGAUGAUGAAGAUAACUCACUGGACAGAAACUGACGCUGAAGUGCGAAAGCUAGGGGAGCAAACAGG